UCUCUCUAGGCUCCGGCAUGACGGGUGACUUCUUCCGAGUCUGGCUUCUGCAGCACACAGGGCUUCGCCAGCACCCAGCUCCUGCAGCAUGGGCAGCUCCUGUGACAGCAGGCGCCCGCAGCCUGCAAAGCGUCUCCAGUGCCGCCGCCUCAGUGAACCUCAACCAGCGGCACCUAGCAGCUUUCUCUGCCACCCUCUUCAGGCACUCCAGAGCCGCGAGCCGCCUCGCACAGCCCGCGCGUUUCUUCUGCUCCCCCGGAAGAGGGCACGGUCUCCUUCCUGGCCGCUCUCUGCCGGCCGUACCGCACGACAGCUGGCAGCACCGUCAGCCCCUGCUCGGGAGCUCGGAAGAUGCUCUAGCUCCGCGGCCAGUGCAGCGAACCCACCCAACCCUGGUGCAGGAGCCAUUGCAGCAAAUUGACAGGGAGUCCUCUGGGCCGGAAGUGGCCCUGGCCCUGCGCCGUAUGCUCUCUAGGACUGCAGGAGGCUCGGCAUCUCGGUGAUAGACCCAGGAAGUCAGUGGCUGGGCGGGGCGGGCUGUGAGGACUGAGGUCUGUAGCGAAGGUCCAGCCCCGUGGUCUUCGCUUCGUUCGGCAACGAACGCCCAGCGAAGGGUAAGACGAAAUGCUUCAAAGACAGGAUCCUGGAGCAGUUGCCGGGGCAACCGUGCGGCUUGGGGCGUGGCGGUGAGGGGAAAAGGGCCGGGCACAAACUUCAGCCGUGAUUGGCUGGUUCUGCUGGAGCCGCCUUUCUCCCCGCCCCGAUGCCUGAAUGGCUAAGGGCAGGGGGGCGUGGCCUCCUGGAUUCAGUCAUGCCGGCGACGGGGCCGCCGAGCGAGAGGCUGGGUCCAUGGGACCCUGCAGGCUCUGGGCUUCGCUACACGGCCGGGCCCGGGAACUGGGAGACGGUGUCCUAGGCUAGGACGGCGCUGAGGCCGACGCCCCCGGCCCAGAGGGGCAGCGCCGACAGCCGAUCCCUGAGCGCUUGCAACAGGAACCUGGGGCCGCAGGGAAGCAGGUGGGAAGCCAGGAUGCAUACAUCCUGCCUCUCCGCCUCCGCCCUCACCGUGCUCCUGACACCGCAUCAGUGAUGAUCUGGUGGAGUUCUCCAGUGGCCGAGAAGCCCCGAGGAAGCCAGGGAAACCGCUGAACCUCCUCAUCCUCUACCCAGGGAGACACCAAGACCCUUACCUGGCUUCUUCCCUCCAGCCUCCUACCUCUCAGUGACGCCCAUCACCUACCAAACUAUGAGCACCCUUCAGCCUGGCGUUCCAGGUCCUUCCCUGGCACAGCCCCUACUCCUCCCUGUCUUAUUUGUGCUUGUCGAAUAUUUCCGAAACUGCCAA
rnacentral:lncRNA from 1 species